AUUUGGCUUUUUCCUUCAUUCAUUCAGAAAGAAAGCUUCAGACUCGCGAACCCUUUCAUCUUCUUCGUGCGUCUCUCUCUGCUCAAGCGACCAGACCAGUCCACCACCACCACUCACCAAAAAGCUCGACCGAACCACUCACUCGUCACCCACCGGUCGUCGUUCUCCCCCUUUUCUCUGUCUCUUCUUGACGUCGAAUCUCUUACCCUUCUCUGCUCAACACGACUCGACUUGUAUUUUAAUCUCAGGUGAUGAAAGUUUGAUAUGAAUUGUUGAUACUGAGAAUUCUAUAAUUUUUCUAGGUUUUAGGUUUUUGGAAAAUUUUGAUUUGUUUCUUUAAUUGAUUGAUUGAGUUUGGGAAAUAUUGAUUUAUUUGUUGAGUUAGUUUAGUCUUAUCCUGGAAUGCUUGGUAUGAAUUUCUUUGAUAUGAAUUUGGGAAACUCCGCCAGCAUUGUCUUUGGGAAAGUUUGAUUGAAUUUGAGAUAUGAAUUUCCUUGUGUCAAACAGAGUUUGUUUAUUGUCCUUGUGUUUGCUCUGUCUUGUUUGUGUGGUUCUGUAACCAUAGGAAGUGAGAGUUCUAGUCCAAAUCAAGUUUUUCUGGAACUAUUUAGCAUAGUGAAAUGUCACAGACUUUUGUGUGAUUUUGAUAAAGCUUGAGUGACUAAUGAAUUUUGUUGGUAUUAAGUUGAACACAAAAGUAAUGUGAUUUGAAUUCUUGAUUGAUCAAAACUUAGAACUCAUUGUUUUCUUUCAGCGCAAAAAUCAGGGACUGUUUUCUUUGAACUUGAAGGUUAAAUGUAUUUUUUUUAUCAUGUUGCUGCCAUGCUAUUUUAAGAGUUUACAUUGUUAAUAUGUUCAACUUUGGAUUGCUUAUGAGUUCUCUUGAUGAUGUUUCUAUAAGAUUCUUAGUUUUGAUCAUUUAUUGAAACUCAUCUUACUUAUGUGCAUGUUAGAACUGAUUGGCAAUACUCUCACCUAUCACAUGAAUUAUGUAACUCUUAAUUUGCUAACUUUGAUUAGUGGGGGGGGGGGGGGGUACUGAACAUAGGUAUGGAACUCAACCUGCUAUUGAACCAUGGUUAAUUUUUAGUCGCAAUUCCUCUUCCAUUGGUUCUUAACCUUGUUCCAUGAUUGCAUUAUUUUCAAUAAUCACAUAAAUGUUAAGUAGGAAUUGGCCUAGAAGCUAAGUGGUUUAGUUUAUGACUGUUAUGAACUUAAUGUUGCUUCUUUAGGAACAAGAUCAGUGCUAUUUUUCUCAGGAUAAUAUCAUGAAAUCUGAAUUGUUGUCCCAUGAUUGUGUAAAUGUGGCUGUUUUGAAAAUUAAGAAAUGUCAAAUCCUUGUGCAUUCAUAUGUCAAUCUCUUCUGAAGUCCAUUAAGAAUAUAGACACAAAGUUCUUAAUCUUGCUCAUUCAUGAGAAUUCAUUUUCUUCUUGUGUUUGUAAUCUCUAAAUCUCAACAUGGUAAACUCUUGUGGACCUUUUUCUCUUAAUAUAGGACUGGUCUUGUUUGUUUAGAUUCAAGAUUCUUGGUUUGGAAUUACUCACUAAUUCAUGUGACUGUUCUGUUCCUUUGUUGUUUAUUUUGGACAUAACUUGUUAAAGCUAAAACUAGUACAUAUUCAUCACUUUAUGUCUUUCUAUUUCUCUAUGUUCGUCACUGAUAUGAUUAAGUUAGUCACAUAUUUAUAAUUCUUGAAUCUGUUAAAAUUGAGUAGUAUAGGUCAUAAUGUUAUGACUUAUUUUAGGGAAUGCUAGUCUCAAAACCUGUUACUUUGUGCUUCAAUAACAUGUUAGUUUUGAAAGUAUAUCAUCAUGAAACCUAUGCAUAAUGUUUUAAUCAUGUGAAUCUCAUUUGCUCUAGUGAAAAAUUGUUUCAGAUAUGGUAAUCAAGGAGGCAUUUGUUGCACCUACAUAUUAUCAUAUCACCACUUGAUGUUGUUACUUGUUAAUAUCAGUGGUCAUUGAGGUGUGUGUGUAAGGCUUCUAUCUGUAGAUAACUGUCUUCACAUAUUCAUUUGUAAAAAUUAAAUUUCAUAAUACAACUCUAUGGCACAAAUGCUAUUUAAAUGAAUAAGAAAUUAUGAUAAUUUAUUGGUAUUGAAAUGUAGCUCAUAUGCUCGGUUACCCCUUCAUCAAGUAGCAGUGAAAAGCACAUUGGAAUACAAGCUCAGCUCAAAACAAGAUGUUAUUUGAUAGCACAAACUUAUAAUUAUGUCAGUAACUUCACCGACGAUGGUCGCUCUCAUCAUUGUCAAGUCAAAAUGUGAUACUACAUGUGAGUAGCCUUCUUUCUUUGUUUACUACUUUUCCUUCUUGCUUUUUAUCUUCAAGUAUUCAUUUCAACUUCAAAUUUUAAUCCUUAUAUAUGUAUGUUAUGCUUUGAUGAUAAGGUUGAUAUGGAAACAUAUGAAGUUUAUACUCAAAUGACACCACCACUUAGUUUGAAAGGCUAAAACUAAAGUUUAGAUGCAAUGUUCUUGCUUGAGGUUUUGUUGCUAUUGCUGCUUGGUAGCUUCAGAAUUUUCUAAUUGUUUUGUGAUUAUUGUAAUAGUAAUAAUUUUAGGAAUUGUUUACCUCUAGUUUAUCUAGUGUUGCUUAUGUUGCAGAACUUGUAGCAAAUUUGUGAUCUCUAUAGAGGAAAUGUUGCAGAAACACUUUACAAGUGUGUGUGGUUUCAGGGAUCUCUGUUGAGGGGCUGGUGCUAUUUGGUUUUUGGCUUCUGUUUGCAGGUCUCGGUUUGCUUAGCUUUGGUUAGACUGUGUUUUUGGGUAGUCAUAUUUUUAGUUUUGCAGGCCUCAGUUUGUUUAGCUUUGGUUAGACAUAGUGUUUUUCGGUAGUCGCAUUUUUAGUUUUGCAGGCCUCAGUUUGUUUAGCUUUGGUUAGGCUAGUGUUUUGGCAGUAACAUUCUUUAGUUUUACUAAGACAUGUUUAAUUCCACGAUACUUUUGGUAACCUUGUUUCGUUAAUAUUUUGUAAUUGAAUUUAUUUAUAAUUUGCUAUGAAAUUUUGUAUUAAUGGU